rnacentral:rRNA from 1 species
AACGUAGGAGACAAACGUUAUCCGGAGUUACUGGGCGUAAAGGGCGUGUAGGUGGUUUUGUAAGUCUGGCGUGAAAUUUUUCGGCUUAACCGGGAAAGGUCGUCGGAUACUGCAGGACUAGAGGACGGUAGAGGCGUGUGGAAUUCCGGGUGUAGUGGUGAAAUGCGUAGAGACUCCGGAGGAACACCAGUGGCGAAGGCGACACGCUGGGCCGUACCUGACACUGAUGCGCGACAGCAUGGGGAGCAAACAGG